AUCCUAUCUCGCUACUGCCUUUUGCAUCCAAGAUCCUUGAAAAAAUUGUGUAUGCGAGAUUGACAGACUUCCUCGAGUCCAACUCUCUGCUAGACCCGCUUCAGUCUGGUUUCCGCGCUAAGCACUCUGUGGAAACAGCACUGACCAAAGUAUCCAAUGAUCUACUCGCUGCAAAAUCUCGUGGUCACUACUCUAUCCUAAUUCUCCUUGACCUGUCUGCGG